rnacentral:rRNA from 1 species
CCUACGGGAGGCAGCAGUGGGGAAUAUUGGACAAUGGGGGCAACCCUGAUCCAGCCAUGCCGCGUGUGUGAAGAAGGCCCUCGGGUUGUAAAGCACUUUCAGUGAGGAAGAACGCCUGGUGGUUAAUACCCAUCAGGAAAGACAUCACUCACAGAAGAAGCACCAGCUAACUCCGUGCCAGCAGCCGCGGUAAUACGGAGGGUGCGAGCGUUAAUCGGAAUUACUGGGCGUAAAGCGCGCGUAGGUGGCUUGAUAAGCCGGUUGUGAAAGCCCCGGGCUCAACCUGGGAACGGCAUCCGGAACUGUCAAGCUAGAGUGCAGGAGAGGAAGGUAGAAUUCCCGGUGUAGCGGUGAAAUGCGUAGAGAUCGGGAGGAAUACCAGUGGCGAAGGCGGCCUUCUGGACUGACACUGACACUGAGGUGCGAAAGCGUGGGUAGCAAACAGGAUUAGAUACCCGAGUAGUC